CCAGCAAUGGGAUGCGAAUCUCGAAAGCCUGUCUCAGUUCGGAUUGGAGGCUGAAACCCGCCUCCAUGAAGUUGGAUUCGCUAGUAAUCGCGCAUCAGCCAUGGCGCGGUGAAUACGUUCCCGGGCCUCGUACACACCGCCCGUCAAGCCAUGGGAGCCGGGGGUGCCUGAAGUUCGUGACCGCAAGGAGCGACCUAGGGCAAAACUGGUGACUGGGGCUAAGUCGUAACAAGGUACC
rnacentral:rRNA from 1 species